rnacentral:misc_RNA from 1 species
UUGAAAUAAAUCUGAUGAGUUGCUGCUGGUUCUUUAGAGGACAUGUGCACACUUGUCAUCUUUAUAUCUCCACCUGUGAACCUUUUGUAGACCUGGGGGAUUAUCUCUCUGAAUUUGCCUUGUAAAUUCAGGUUUGAGGAUUGGUUUUUCUCGUUCCUUGCAUUUUUCAGGUCUAUGUUUGUCAUAUACCCAUGUAUUUUUCUAGAAUGUAAUGAAAUGGGCUUUUGUGCCUAUAAACUUAUA